rnacentral:rRNA from 1 species
UACGUAGGUGGCAAGCGUUGUCCGGAUUUAUUGGGUUUAAAAGGGUGCGUAGGCGGUCUAUUAAGUCAGUGGUGAAAUACUCCAGCUUAACUGGAGGGGUGCCAUUGAUACUGAUGGACUUGAGUCAAGUCGAGGUAGGCGGAAUUGACGGUGUAGCGGUGAAAUGCUUAGAUAUCGUCAAGAACACCAAUAGUGAAGACAGCUUACUGGGCUUAAACUGACGCUGAGGCACGAAAGUGUGGGGAUCAAACAGG